rnacentral:rRNA from 1 species
CCUACGCGAGGCAGCAGUGGGGAAUAUUGCACAAUGGGGGAAACCCUGAUGCAGCGACGCCGCGUGAGCGAUGAAGUAUUUCGGUAUGUAAAGCUCUAUCAGCAGGGAAGAAAAUGACGGUACCUGACUAAGAAGCACCGGCUAACUACGUGCCAGCAGCCGCGGUAAUACGUAGGGGGCAAGCGCUAUCCGGAUUUACUGGGUGUAAAGGGAGCGUAGACGGCUGUGCAAGCCAGAUGUGAAAGCCCGGGGCUCAAACCCGGGACUGCAUUUGGAACUGUGUGGCUGGAGUGUCGGAGAGGCAGGCGGAAUUCCUGGUGUAGCGGUGAAAUGCGUAGAUAUUAGGAGGAACACCAGUGGCGAAGGCGGCCUGCUGGACGAUGACUGACGCUGAGGUUCGAAAGCGUGGGUAGCAAACAGGAUUAGAUACCCGAGUAGUC